rnacentral:rRNA from 1 species
AUUGAACGCUGGCGGCAGGCCUAACACAUGCAAGUCGAGCGAGAGGCGGACGGGUGAGCAAUGUAUGGGGAUCUGCCCGAUAGAGGGGGAUAACUACUGGAAACGGUGGCUAAUACCGCAUACUAUCGGUUGAACCCAUAUGGGAUUAGCUAGUCGGUGGGGUAAAGGCUCACAUAGGCGACGAUCCCUAGCUGGUCUGAGAGGAUGACCAGCCACACUGGAACUGAGACACGGUCCAGACUCCUACGGGAGGCAGCAGUGGGGAAUAUUGCACAAUGGGCGAAAGCCUGAUCCAGCCAUGCCGCGUGUGUGAAGAAGGCUUUCGGGUUGUAAAGCACUUUCAUCAAGGAGGCGUUACUCGCAGAAGAAGCCACGGCUAACUCCGUGCCAGCAGCCGCGGUAAUUC